UUUUUCAUUAAUAUUUCCCGAAAGCGAGUGAGCUAAGCUAGAUCUGAUUAGAUCAUUAUUUUUAAAUGUUUCAUAAUUUAAUUUAGAAUCUAGCUUAGAAAUUAUAUGUUAAUCGCACUCGCAGAUAGCUGGUUGUUACUUAAAAUGCAUUUCAUUGCUCCUCUUAUUUUUUAAGAGUGUACUUAUGUUGGGAUUAGCUAAUAUAAGAAUUAAAGUUUGUUUAUUAUGUUUUAAAUAGUUAAAUUUUAUUAGGCUUAAUAACUUUCAGACUUAAAAGUCCGUUACAGGAAAGAUAAUAUUUCUAUAUAAUUGUAAAUAAAACAACUCUAUUGUUGAUUAAAGAACAGUAAAGGGAAACUUUAACCUUUAUUUAAACUGGUAGUAUUAGUAUAUUAAGUUUAUUUUAAUUUUGUACUCUUUUUAUAGAAGCAAUUUAAGGAACUCGGCAAAUUCAGACCACGACUGUUUAGCAAAAACAUAGCUUUUUGUAUUUAUAUAAAGUGCCGUCUGCCCGGUGACUUGUUUAAGUUUAACGGCCGCGGUUUCGUGCUAAGGUAGCAUAAUAAUUUGUCUUUUCAUUGAAGACUAGAAUGAAGGGCAUAACGAAGUCUAGCUGUCUCAGAUUGCUAUCUAGAAUUUGAUUUUCAGGUGAAAAAUCCUGGUUUAAUAAAAUAGGACGAGAAGACCCUAUAGAGUUUUAUAAUACUUUUACUAUCAGAAGUUUGGUAUAUAAUAUGUGCUGGCAGUUUAAGGUUAUUUUAUUGGGGCAAUAGAGGAACAACUAAAAUUCCUCCUAUAAGAUUUUAAGAUGUUAAAAAAUUAUAUCCUCAAAGAGAAUUAACAGAAACUACCUUAGGGAUAACAGCGUAAU
rnacentral:rRNA from 1 species